rnacentral:lncRNA from 1 species
GUCGAAGCCAAUCUUCGUAAAUGUCCGGAAGCAACACGCGGAGUGCAGGACCCCAUUCCUGUAUGCAAGUUGAAGCAAAUUGGGACGAGGUGGGAAAGAUAGAUUUGGGAGAAUAUUCUGAGUCCGAACCGAACGCCGGGUUGCCCGUUGCCGUGAUAAAACGGUUGGUGAAAGAGUGGACUACACAAAGGUGGCUCACCGGGUCCCCUUCGUUGAUAGUUGACCAACACUGAUACCAUCCCUUUACAAUAUCCUGCUUCAAGGACUGCCUGCUCCUUGACGUUAAGUUCCCUGCGACACAACUACUUUACGAGGCAGUGGACGACAGCGGGAUGCCCAGAGGGCAACAAAACAAGUAAUUUCAUUAGGUAAUGGCUUUCUGUUAUUCAUGGAGGCACCAUGUGAACGUGCUGCGGACCUGUCUAUGGAGGACGCGAUAAUCUGUGGGCAUUUCAUGUACAACGUAUCGGUCUCAUUGUCGCUGAUUGCGCUCUUUACAGUGCAGGUCCAUCCAAGCACCAGCACCAAGAACAGAGUGGCGCAGACCAUUGCGGCACUUGCACCUGAGGAAGAAACUUAAGAGCUCAGAUAUCUUGGGUGCAUAACACCACAUGUGGACACCUCUUGUCCAAAAUUCUAUGGCGUCAUUGUGUGUCGGCUUCAUUCCAUGUGCUCGCCCACGGCAUCAGUAACCUUCCCAACAUAUGCGGCGACACUUUGUUCCUG